ensembl:lncRNA
GGAGUCAACAGCCCAGAGCCCAGCCGACUGAUGGAGCAGAGAAGGAGGGAGUCAACAGCCCAGAGCCCAGCCGACUGACAGAGCAGAGAAGGAGUGAAGGAGAGAGUCAACAGCCCAGAGCCCAGCCGACUGAUGGAGCAGAGGAAGGAGGGAUCAACAGCCCAGAGCCCAGCUGACUGACGGAGCAGAGAAGGAGGGAGUCAACAGCCCAGAGCCCAGCUGACUGACGGAGCAGGAAGGAGUGAAGGAGGGGGUCAACAUCCCCAGAGCCCAGCUGACUGACGGAGCAGGGAAGGAGAGAGUCAACAACAGUGUCUGACCUCUAACAGUGAACGUGCUGCACUAUAUAAGGAAUAAGGUGUAAUUUGGGAUCAGAUUUUAGUGAGAGCUUUAAACCACAGAUCCCUGAUCAGCUUUAGGAAUAAGGUGUAAUUUGGGAUCAGAUUUUAGUGAGAGCUU